UACGUAGGGGGCAAGCGUUGUCCGGAAUUAUUGGGCGUAAAGAGCGCGUAGGCGGUCCGGUAAGUCGGCUGUGAAAGUCAAGGGCUCAACCCUUGAAAGCCGGCCGAUACUGUCGGACUAGAGUCCGGAAGAGGCGAGUGGAAUUCCCGGUGUAGCGGUGAAAUGCGCAGAUAUCGGGAGGAACACCAAUGGCGAAGGCAGCUCGCUGGGACGGUACUGACGCUGAGGAGCGAAAGCGUGGGGAGCGAACAGG
rnacentral:rRNA from 1 species